rnacentral:rRNA from 1 species
UUAAGUGAUGAUAGCCUAGGAGAUACACCUGUUCCCAUGCCGAACACAGCAGUUAAGCCCUAGAACGCCUGAAGUAGUUGGGGGUUGCCCCCUGUUAGAUACGGUAGUCGCUUAGC